rnacentral:lncRNA from 1 species
AGGUUAUGUACGAAAGGAUGAAAUUGAGGAUAAAUGAAGUUGUCGAAAGAGGGAGCAUCCAUGGAUAUGUGACAGAUGAAGAAGUGCGCGGAACUUUUGCUGUAUGGCAUAAUACACCUGGUUUCACUCCCAAAAAUCAUCCUACUAUUAUUCAGGUUCAUUCUUAGUCUGUUUUCUAAUUAAUAAUUUGAAUUUUAAAUUUGUACAGAAUCAUCUAAUAACUGAGCUAGAAUUUUUCAAUUAAAGACAGGAAAAAAGAAUAAUCGGAUUUACUAGGCUACAACGAAUCUAGCUUUUCUGAGUAGUUUCCUGAAGGCUAUCAAAUUAUUGAACUUGAAUCUCUUAUCUUUCAUAGUUAUUGUUAUUAGUACUUACUCCGUGCUGAAUAAACCUGUAGCAAAGUUUGAUCCCAACCCCGAUCCGUAGUAAAUCAGAAUAUAUUGCUUCAAUAUGGAAAACAGGAUGAGUAAUAGAUACUAGCAUAUUUAUAACUAUAAAAAUUAGUACCAAUUAUAGAACUAAUGAUGAGGAUCUUGCAGAUAAUCAUGGAGAGCGCCACUGAAAAGGAUGAGUCCGGUAACAGAAUGCCCAAUCUUGUGUAUGUGUCCAGAGAAAAGAAGAAGACUACACCCCACAACUACAAGGCUGGUGCGCUCAACGUUCUGGUAAUAAUGUUUAUAAUUGUGUUGAUCAUACACAUAUAUAGGUAAACAGAAAGUUAAUUUUCAUUUCUUGUUUAUUUCACAUAUUUAACAUAUUAAUGCAUAAUAAAGCUUCGAGUAUCAGCAACCAUGACAAAUGCACCGCUGGUGUUGACGCAAGACUGUGACAUGUUUUCAAAUGAUCCUAAGACACCACUCCGUGCACUCUGCUACUUUAUGGACCCUGGAAUGGACCCGAACUUGGCGUUGGUCCAGUUCCCUCAAAUUUUCCAUGGGAUUAACAAGGAUGAUAUAUAUAAUGCUGAACUUAAAGAAAUGCUUGUCAAUAAUAAUUUGGGAAUGGAUGGUUUAUUAGGACCACCUUAUAUAGGUUCUGGGGGGUUUUUUCGUCGACAAGCUUUGUUUGGAACUCCAGUAUCACAUAUACCUCCCCAGCCUUCAGAAAUUAGUCCUCAUCAUGUUGUUAACAAGUCAAUGCAGUCCGCAGAGAUUUUGGCUCUGGCACACCAUGUUGGAGGCUGUAACUUUGAGGUUCAAACCGAGUGGGGAUCAGAGGUCAGACACUUUGGUACAUUUAUUAAUAAAAUUCACAUAUUACUUCGAACCAAAAUAUUAAAUAUUUAUUCUCUAAUUGUCGCAGAUGGGAUUUAGGUAUGGCUCUUUAGUGGAGGAUUUUAACACAGGCUACAGAAUGCAAUGCCAAGGAUGGAGAUCUGUUCUCUGCAAUCCAAUAAGACCAGCAUUCUUAGGAAGUUCACCAAUAACACUCCAUGACAUGCUCAAUCAAUGCAAAAGGUGGUCCAUGGGUCUUCUUGAUAUCACUUUUUCCAGAUAUAACCCUCUUUUCUUUGGUGUGCGGUUCAUGAACCCUCUCCAAGCCUUCUGCUUUGGACACUAUGCGAUUUGGCCCAUUUGGUCGAUUCCUCUUAUUAUCUAUUCCUUCUUGCCUCAGCUCGCUCUAAUCAAUUCUUCACAUGCUAUUUUCCCAAAGGUAAGCUAAAAACUGCACUACUACAGGGUCGAUCAAGUUCAAAUUUUGUAACGUGAAGAGUUGGUACACAGUAUAAAUAGGUAUUCAUAGUAGUUUAAUUAUUUUUGCUCUAAUUAUGAUGUCAGGUGACAGAUCCUUGGCUGUUUUUCUUGUAUGUGUUUCUUUUCCUUGGUUCAUAUGUGCAACAUCUUCUCGAAUAUGUUACAUUUGGAUCUCCAGCCAAAAGGUGGUGGAACAGUCAGAGAGUGUGGAUGAUGAGAGCACUUUCAAGCUUUCCAUUUGCAUUGAUUGAAUAUAUACUAGAAUGCUGGGGAGUAUCAUCGUUUGGGUUCAAUGUGACUAGCAAGGUACUUGAUAGUGAACAAAGCAAACGUAACGCAGAAUGUAUGUUUGAAUUCGGAGUGCCUUCUCCACUUUUUGUUCCAAUAAAUAUGGCGGCAAUGAUCAACUUGUGGGCGUUUUUACAUGGGAUAAAACAAGUGAUUAAGAGGAAUGAAAGCUUUGAAGAUAUAUUUGUGCAGAUGUUUUUAGCUGGCUUUGGAGUGCUUAAUUGCUGGCCCAUCUAUGAAGCCAUGUUAUUGAGAAGGGAUAAAGGAAGGAUGCCAUUAAAGAUAACUUUAUUAUCAACCUUCCUAGCAUGGCUUGUUUAUCUGAUAUCCUCUUCAGCCUUUUGAAAACUAGUAUUGUUUUGUAUCUUGAUUCUAGGACAAUGCUCUCCGGGUGGAGAUAGUAUCGUUUUGUGCAAUUCUUGUAUUGUAUCUUCAAGAUCAUACUACAAUACUUGAGUAUCGUCUCUUUUAUAUAUACAUUUUAAAUAAAUUAGGGUCAUUAUAUUUUUUUUCUUAUGUUCUGUUGGAUGUUAUGGAUAAAUAGAUGUUCAUAUUUGAUUUGAUUGAAUUUUGAAACGUACCAUAGGAGCGUUUCAAUUCAACCUUUCUCAAAGCAAUCUAUUUGUAUUCAUAUAAGCAGCGAGCAUGCUAUUAACUAUGUCAGCUGCGUUCAGUUUCAGACUCCAAUUACUAUCAAGUCACCGGGCAGAAAGACGUGGCCAUUCCUUUUAGCAGUGUUUACACCAUUUUAGAGUUUUGGUGUUGGGUUGGAGAUGAUAUCAUGCAUCUCUGCCUCUUUUAACACCUCUUCGACUGAUUUCCUUCUCAGACCCCCUCAUUUGCUUCUCUGGACUCUUUAAUUCAGUCUUUAAGAUUGCAAGGCAGUCUUCUACAGAGUCAGAAGUGCAAACCUUCAUAGAGAAGCUACAAACAAAGAACUAAUUCCAGUAACAGGUGUUCAAUAACUUGUGAAUUAAAUCUUAGAGAGUAAAGAAUGAACUCUCAAAAUGCAUCACAAGAAGUAGAAGCACUUUAAAAAAGCUGAGAAUGCUAACUUGUCUCUCACAACUUCUGAUUCUUUUCCAAACACUUUAUUAACUUAUUUAUUUCUAACGUCUACUCCACUUCUUUAAUUUAAUCAAGAAGUGACUUCUUUUAAGUUAACCCAAACGGCCCAAUAAUCUCUUAGAACGUCUCUCCAAGAAAUCUUGGUUAAAAUUCACUAAUACAUACCAUAAAUAAAAAUAGAGGCUAUGUACAAAACAAUUCAACUCCAAUGAGACCUUCCCCUUAUAUAUAAUUAUAGCCAACCUUUAUUGAUGUAGCAAGAUUUUACAUCAUUUAUUACUAUAUUAAAACAUUAUAUUAUAUUUACACAACUUGAAAUAAUAAUUAUACACUUUUUUAAAAUAUAGCCGAUCAAAAUAGUUAGUACCAUUAAAACACAAUAUUUUACAGGUUCCACAAAUUUUAUAUAAUAUCUUGCGAUCAAAUUUAACUAAUCAGUUACAGACUUAUAGUCAAUACUAUUAUACUAUUGUAGAUGCUAUUUAAUUAAUUAGUUAUAAUCAAUAGUAUUCUAGAUGCUAAAGUCCUGUUUACCAAGUAUUUUUUAACCAACACAAUUGCAGAUCCUCUUAUAAUUACAGUCUAUGAUUUGUUGGAAUUAGGAAUCGACGAUCACUUCAAGAUUUGGAAAUGUUAUACCCGCUCCAAUCUCCAAACGGAUACAAGCCGUCCCGAAUGAGGACUAGAGAUCUCUGCGGAGAUUCGAGAAAUUUGUCUUUUCUAAAAAAAAUUAUAUUAUAAUAUAUGAUCUUUGAUUAAAAUUAUUUUAGUAAGUUGUCAUAAUAUACAAUGUUUUUAGUUAUAUUUUGAGUACCAAUUCGAAUAAUACUCAUUUAUAAUAAAAAUAAAAGAGUAGAUUUAAUAUAAUUUGUUUGUAUUAUAAUAUGAAAUGAUUUAAUCAAUGUGAUGAAAGAGAUUAUUUAAAUUUUCAUAUAUAUAUAUAUAUAUAUAUAUAUAUAUAUAUAUUUAUCAUUAAUAUUUUGUAUAAUAUAAUAUACAUAAAUAUAUUCAUAUUAUAUAUGAAAAUCGGGAAAUUUCAAGACGGUUCGCGACCAGAAAAUAUUAAUUUUUGAAUCCGUCCCGAUCUCCGAAUUCUGGUAUAUAAUUUUUUUCCAAUCUCUAUCCCGUACUCGAGAGAAUCUCUUAUUUAUGAUUUCGUGCCGAACGGCCCGAACCUGAUAAACGAAAAAAUAGGUGGUCUUUUCUGGAAUCGAGCGGGACAGACUGGAUCGGGUCGGUCAGAUGGGACAGGGACACGUCCUCAGUUGACAUCAGGCUUAAAACUAGGGGUGUAAACAAACCAAACUGUUGGUGAGCUACUCGAGCUCGGCUCGUAAAAUAUUCGGAUUUGAUUCGGUAGUAAUCAAGCCGAGCUCGAGAUCGAGCUAUUUGGAUGUUUUACCGAGCUGAGCUCGAGCUUCAAAUUACUCGGCUCCUAAGGUUCGCGAGCCUUAUCGAGCCUCUACUAUUAUUUAAUCUUUUUUAUUAUAAAUAUAUUUUUACAAAUAUAUUUAAUAUUUUAUUUAUAAAUCAUAUAUUUAAUCGAAUCGAACUCGAGCCAAACCGAUCAUAUUUCGAGUUUUUGUCAAUAUUUAGUGUCUCGAUUCGAGAUUCCGAGCUGAACUCGAGCCUAUCAAACUGUUUACGAGCCGAGUUUCGAACUUGAAAUUAAAGCCUCGGUCGAACUCGAACUCGAGCUCGAGCCCCGAACUUUUCAAUUGAGUUCGAGCCGAGCCUGACAGUGUUCUACUUGUCUCGGCUUGAUUACACCCCUACUCAGAACUCAGAAGAAAGCCAGUAUAAUAUGAUCGCCCACCACGUUUUUUUUCCCUGUCAUCAAUUGCUAGAGCUCAGUGCACCUGAAGCUCAACCAUAUAUGACCAUAUCAUAUUAAUGACUGUUGCAAUCAACCAUUUGUGAUCUUUGUCUGUACAGGGACAGCACUUGGAAAUAAUAAAUCCUCUUUUUCUUUUCUUUGUUUUCCUUCUUUUCCAAAUCAUAUAAAUCGUUUUUAUUAUCACUAACACAAUCAAAACAGACUGCUGCAAUAUCACAAUGUAAUAGUUGAACACCAGUAGCAAUAGCAACUACAAUUGUGUUAAAUUGAAGUAGGCCGAGGUCCUUACAUUCCCUAUAGGCAGACUAUUUCCGCCAACAUAAAAAGUCAAACUUAAUCAGAGAGAUCCAGAAUUCAAAUUUUAUUUUGUCGUAUCAGUAACAACUAGGGAGGUGUUUGGUUCAUGGUUAAUGAGCCCGGUUAACGGGAAUCGGAACCUAAGAGGGAGCAUCCAUGGAUAUGUGACAGAUGAAGAAGUGCGCGGAACUUUUGCUGUAUGGCAUAAUACACCUGGUUUCACUCCCAAAAAUCAUCCUACUAUUAUUCAGGUUCAUUCUUAGUCUGUUUUCUAAUUAAUAAUUUGAAUUUUAAAUUUGUACAGAAUCAUCUAAUAACUGAGCUAGAAUUUUUCAAUUAAAGACAGGAAAAAAGAAUAAUCGGAUUUACUAGGCUACAACGAAUCUAGCUUUUCUGAGUAGUUUCCUG